rnacentral:rRNA from 1 species
UACGUAGGGGGCAAGCGUUGUCCGGAAUCACUGGGCGUAAAGCGCGCGCAGGCGGUCAUCUACGUCUGGGGUGAAAGCCCGGAGCUCAACUCCGGGAUUGCCUUGGAUACGGGAUGACUUGAGGAUCGGAGAGGCAAGAGGAAUUCCACGUGUAGCGGUGAAAUGCGCAGAUAUCGGGAGGAACACCAAUGGCGAAGGCAGCUCGCUGGGACGUUACUGACGCUGAGACGCGAAAGCGUGGGGAGCAAACAGG